rnacentral:rRNA from 1 species
AUUGAACGCUGGCGGAAUGCUUUACACAUGCAAGUCGAACGGCAGCACGGGGGCAACCCUGGUGGCGAGUGGCGAACGGGUGAGUAACACAUCGGAACGUGCCCAGUCGUGGGGGAUAACGUAGCGAAAGCUACGCUAAUACCGCAUACGAACUCUGGUUGAAAGCGGGGGACUCGCAAGAGCCUCGCGCGAUUGGAGCGGCCGAUGGCAGAUUAGGUAGUUGGUGGGGGUAAAGGCUCACCAAGCCGACGAUCUGUAGCUGGUCUGAGAGGACGACCAGCCACACUGGGACUGAGACACGGCCCAGACUCCUACGGGAGGCAGCAGUGGGGAAUUUUGGACAAUGGGCGCAAGCCUGAUCCAGCCAUUCCGCGUGCAGGAUGAAGGCCCUCGGGUUGUAAACUGCUUUUGGACGGAACGAAAAGGGACCUUUCCUAAUACGGAGGGCUCAUGACGGUACCGUCAGAAUAAGCACCGGCUAACUACGUAGCCAGCAGCCGCGGUAAU